AACAGACCCUCAUCUGAUAUUCAUUUUAAAUGCAAAUCUUUUCAGAUAUAAGGACUGUCCACCUUCAAAUUUACCACUACUAUAACAUCUUACAAGUCGGUCUCCGGUACUGAGCGGAGAAUGGAAAUAUUGGAUGUGAUGGACACUUCUAACAUAUUUUGAGGUAGCUGCACUAGAAGAUCGGACCCCUGGAUGACUGUGUACAAAGCACCAAGACACCGAUAUCACUAUUGGCAAUGUUCAAGGCUGUGAUGGAGGGCAGACUCAAGAGAGACGGGGCACAAAGUUACAAUUAUUGCAUUUUCAUUUUGUCAUUAACACAUCUACAAUAAAUAUAUGAGACACCAAACCCUCA